rnacentral:rRNA from 1 species
UAGGGAAUCUUCCGCAAUGGGCGAAAGCCUGACGGAGCAACGCCGCGUGAGUGAUGAAGGUCUUCGGAUCGUAAAACUCUGUUAUUAGGGAAGAACAAAUGUGUAAGUAACUAUGCACGUCUUGACGGUACCUAAUCAGAAAGCCACGGCUAACUACGUGCCAGCAGCCGCGGUAAUACGUAGGUGGCAAGCGUUAUCCGGAAUUAUUGGGCGUAAAGCGCGCGUAGGCGGUUUUUUAAGUCUGAUGUGAAAGCCCACGGCUCAACCGUGGAGGGUCAUUAGAAGCUGGAAAACUUGAGUGCAGAAGAGGAAAGUGGAAUUCCAUGUGUAGCGGUGAAAUGCGCAGUGGUAUGGAGGAAGACCAGUGGCGAAGGCGACUUUCUGAUCUAUAAAUGACGCUGAUGUGCGAAAGCGGGGGGAUCAAACAGG